UACAGAGGGUGCAAGCGUUAAUCGGAAUGACUGGGCGUAAAGGGUGCGUAGGUGGCCUAUUAAGUUAGUUGUGAAAUCCCCGGGCUUAACCUGGGAACUGCAAUUGAUACUGGUAAGCUAGAGUUUGGUAGAGGAUAGUGGAAUUUCCGGUGUAGCGGUGAAAUGCGUAGAUAUCGGAAGGAACACCAGUGGCGAAGGCGACUAUCUGGCCCAAAACUGACACUGAGGCACGAAAGCGUGGGUAGCGAACAGG
rnacentral:rRNA from 1 species